rnacentral:rRNA from 1 species
UACGUAGGGUGCAAGCGUUAAUCGGAAUUACUGGGCGUAAAGCGUGCGCAGGCGGUGAUGUAAGACAGAUGUGAAAUCCCCGGGCUCAACCUGGGAACUGCAUUUGUGACUGCAUCGCUGGAGUGCGGCAGAGGGGGAUGGAAUUCCGCGUGUAGCAGUGAAAUGCGUAGAUAUGCGGAGGAACACCAGUGGCGAAGGCGCCGCUCUGGGCCGUGACUGACGCUGAAGAGCGAAAGCGUGGGUAGCAAACAGG